rfam:Planococcus sp. PAMC 21323, complete genome.
AUUACCUUUUAAUGAAUGUCCAGAGAGGCAUGGAAGGGAUCGAAGAAUGGGUAAAGUCUACCCUUUUUUCCUCACACCUUCCUGCCCCUGGGAAGGUGUUUUUUUGU